GCCGACAUAAAAUCAAAAAAGAAUUCCCAUUAUUUUCCUUAAACGACGGUGUUUUCUACUAUUUCGUUUCCUUAGCUCGCACGUUCAAGUUAUCGAUCUUCGAUCGGACUCGGAAGAACACGUUGGUUCAUCGGCGAACCAGAAUAAGGAAAAGUAAAACUAAAAAUUUGAAGAAGAAAACCACAUAGAGGAACGAGAUGAAGAUCGACGUGAAUGCGAUGGCUCGUAGAGUCGAAGUCGAUAAUCGAAUUCCUCUCCGUUAUUAUUAUCGAAUCGCCGAUAAUCUCCUCAAACAGGCGAGCAUUUACCGAGACGAAAAGAAUAUAGUAGAUUUGUACAUAAUACUGCUUAGAUAUUCAAGUUUGGUGUCGGAAACAAUACCAUUCCAUCGAGAUUACCAGGUUUUGCUUCCAAAAGAAAAGGCGCAGUAUAGGAAGAGACUUUUAGCUGUACUCGAUGAGCUUGAAUCUUCGAAACCUGAGGUUCACCGGAGAGUUGAAGAACUAAAUAAAUCUCAUGCAGGGGCUCGAUUGCUUGAACUUGAUGGCCAUGAAACAACUUCCUAUGGCUCAGAGAAGAUGUCACCUUUGGAAUGGUCCUCUGUCAAUAAUGGGUCUAAUAUGAGCUUGGAUAUUGAGCAGCCUGCCAACAUGGCAGUUCAAUCUUCAUGGAAGUAUAACAAUGAUCGUAAUCUAAUUGACAAGCAAUUCCAGAAGUUGUCUCUACCUUUUCCAAAUAAAGAAACUUUGUCUAGACACUCAUUUCUAGGCCCUGAUGGUCUUCGAGGCCAGUGGCUUGGACCAAGGGCAGAGAUAAAGGUUCAAUAUCCUAGCAGUAUGGACUUGGUACCUGCUGAAAAGCCAGGCCCCAAUCAGGCUGGACAAUAUGGUGCUUUGGCUGUAAAAGAUGGUGAUCCAGGAGGGGUUGGUUCUGCUAUGGAGUCAGUGCUCUCCUUAGAUGAUGGUCGAUGGUUACAUCCUGCUGAAGAGUCAUGUCACCCUUUGAUUAGUGAAGCUAGGGAGGAUCCUUUCCAGUUUGUUGGUAUCAGACAACCUUCUCCUCCUCCUGUUCUCGCUCGAGUGCAGCAGGACUUCACUCCAAUUCCUCCAUCAAAAGUUGCUGAUCCAAGACCUGGUCCAGCUAAGCCUUCUCAAGAUGGAAUGCCAAACUCUAAUUCGUAUCAACAUUUACAUGUUCCAGUACAUAUGAUGGAGGAUUUCUUACGAUUGGCUCGGGCAAAUACAGAAAAAAAUUUGGAAACAUGUGGUGUUCUAGCUGGAUCAUUGAAAAACAGGGUUUUUCACAUCACCACACUUAUAAUCCCAAAGCAGGAGUCGACUUCAGAUUCGUGUUCAACAUUAAACGAAGAAGAAAUUUUUGAAGUUCAAGACAAAUUAUCUCUUUUUCCCCUUGGGUGGAUUCAUACACACCCAACUCAGACUUGUUUCAUGUCGUCAGUUGAUCUACACACUCAUUACUCAUAUCAGAUUAUGUUACCAGAAGCAAUUGCAAUUGUUAUGGCUCCGACAGAUACAUCCAGCCCACAUGGUAUCUUUCAUCUGUCUGAUCCUGGCGGUGUGUCCAUUAUUCGUAAUUGUCAGCAACGGGGAUUCCAUCCCCAUGAGGAGCCUUCCGAUGGAAGCCCAAUAUAUGAGCAUUGCUCUCAUGUCUUCAUGAAUCCCAAAAUAAAGUUUGAUGUUGUCGAUCUCCGGUGAGAUACAAAGUGUUCAACCCUCCCUGAUGAAGUAUCGAUGGGAAAAAUUUUUCACAGAAGGAAUUAUGUAAGUGUGCGUUAAAAUAACUGUUUUGCUGACACCAAUCCUGUAAAUUCUAUUGAAGAGAAUCAUGGUGCAAAUAGAGCAUACUCAUUUUCUUUUUUUCCAAUCAUAUUGUAAGAAUUGCCUCCCCAUCAUUCCUUUCCUGCUUUGUACUGUAUAUUAAGGCCUUUUUUUUUGUAAAGGAAAAUAACAGAUUAUCGAAGGAAGCACCUUUAAGCUUCUAGUUGGAGAUCAAAUGCACCCGACCCGUGUCAGAUACCAUUGCUGCCAUGAUCUCAGCAAACUUUGAACGGGGUGACCUGAAAAGGUCCGGGUUUAAUUGCACUCUCUUUCCCGAUGGUGUUUGCCGACGUUGAUAACUCAUCAACAUUCGCCCUGCCUGCCAUGCUGUGGGUAGUGCCAGUAUCAAUGAUGAAUGUACUCAGAAUUUUCUGUAACUUCUCUGGAAAGAUCUUCAUGCCAUUUGGGUAGCACUCGUUUUUGCUUAGGUUCAUUAAUAUUUCUCUCCCGUACGGAUAAGAAGUUGGUGGGUUUCUUUUAUAGCUAGGAAUCCACUCGGAUCUGUAAUGACUGUUCUACGAUCGUUACCGACGCCCAAGUCUCUUGAGCAAGUUCGUUGA